rnacentral:rRNA from 1 species
UGGGGAAUUUUGGACAAUGGGGGCAACCCUGAUCCAGCAAUGCCGCGUGCAGGAAGAAGGCCUUCGGGUUGUAAACUGCUUUUGUACAGAAUGAAAAAGCUAAAGCUAAUAUUUUUGGUUUAUGACAGUACUGUAAGAAUAAGCACCGGCUAACUACGUGCCAGCAGCCGCGGUAAUACGUAGGGUGCUAGCGUUAAUCGGAAUUACUGGGCGUAAAGCGUGCGCAGGUGGUUUUGUAAGAUAGGCGUGAAAUCCCUGAGCUUAACUUAGGAAUUGCGCUUGUGACUGCAAGACUAGAGUGCGGUAGAGGAGAAUGGAAUUUCGCGUGUAGCAGUGAAAUGCGUAGAUAUGCGAAGGAACACCAAUGGCGAAGGCAAUUCUCUGGACCUGCACUGACACUCAUGCACGAAAGCGUGGGGAUCAAACA